rnacentral:rRNA from 1 species
CCCCUAGAUGUUCUGGGCCGCACGCGCGCUACACUGAACAGUUCAACAAGUCUUAACCUUGGCCGAUAGGUCUGGGUAAUCUUUGAACGCUGUUCGUGAUUGGGAUAGACCUUUGCAAUUAUGGGUCUUCAACGAGGAAUUCCUAGUAAACGCAAGUCAUCAGCUUGCAUUGAUUACGUCCCUGCCCUUUGUACACACCGCCCGUCGCUCCUACCGAUUGAGUGCUCAGGUGAAUAAUUCGGACUGCAGCAGUGUUUGGAUCCCGAACGCUGCAGCGGAAAGUUUAGUGAACCUUAUCACUUAGAGGAAGGAGAAGUCGUANCA